rnacentral:rRNA from 1 species
AGAGUGAACGCUGGCGGUAGGCCUAACACAUGCAAGUCGAACGGCAGCACAGUAGGAGCUUGCUCUUACGGGUGGCGAGUGGCGGACGGGUGAGGAAUACAUCGGAAUCUACCUUUUGGUGGGGGAUAACGUAGGGAAACUUACGCUAAUACCGCAUACGCCCUUCGGGGAAAGCCGGGACCAGCAAUGGCCUGGCGCUGAUAGAUGAGCCGAUGUCGGAUUAGCUAGUUGGUGAGAUAAUGGCUCACCAAGGCGACGAUCCGUAGCUGGUCUGAGAGGAUGAUCAGCCACACUGGAACUGAGACACGGUCCAGACUCCUACGGGAGCAGCAGUGGGGAAUAUUGGACAAUGGCGCAAGCCUGAUCCAGCCAGUACCGCGUGGUGAAGAAGGCCUUGGUUAGUAACGCCCUUUAGUUGGAAGAAAAGUCAUUCGGUUAAUACCGGUAGUUCUAGUACGUAACCCAAAGAAUAAGACGACCGUCUAACUUCGAGUCCAG